rnacentral:rRNA from 1 species
UACGUAGGGUGCAAGCGUUAAUCGGAAUUACUGGGCGUAAAGCGUGCGCAGGCGGCUUUGCAAGACCGAUGUGAAAUCCCCGGGCUUAACCUGGGAACUGCAUUAGUGACUGGCAGGCUUUGAGUGUGGCAGAGGGAGGUAGAAUUCCACGUGUAGCAGUGAAAUGCGUAGAGAUGUGGAGGAAUACCGAUGGCGAAGGCAGCCUCCUGGGCCAACACUGACGCUCAUGCACGAAAGCGUGGGGAGCAAACAGG